UACGUAGGGGGCAAGCGUUGUCCGGAAUCAUUGGGCGUAAAGAGCGUGUAGGCGGCCUGAUAAGUCGGCUGUGAAAGUCAAGGGCUCAACCCUUGAAUGCCGGCCGAUACUGUCAGGCUAGAGUCCGGAAGAGGCGAGUGGAAUUCCUGGUGUAGCGGUGAAAUGCGCAGAUAUCAGGAGGAACACCUAUGGCGAAGGCGGCUCUCUGGGACGGUACUGACGCUGAGACGCGAAAGCGUGGGGAGCGAACAGG
rnacentral:rRNA from 1 species